GCCAUAUCUAGGUUUGAUUUUGUUAUAAACCUUCGGUUUUCAAUAGAACACGAACAUCAAUACAGUGACAUUUUAAAUAUAGUAUAAUUUAAAAGUUUUCUUUAAAAAAUUUUUUUAUAGUGAAAGAUUAUACAACUCAAAAUGCUGUUAAUAUUUUUUCGCAAUUAUGAUUACUACAACGUUUUUCCGUAUUGGUUGCAUUCUAAUAUUUAUGAUUUGAAUUAUGUAAUUUCAUUUUUAACUCGUGUGGAUCCGACGGACGAUGUAUAUAGGCUUAGCCUUCCGCGGUCGUGUAGUAAACGCGUAGGUAAGAACGUCAAAGUGAGAACGUCUCGACACAACAAGGAGAAAACACUACGUUUCAUAUAAACCUGGGAUCUUUAUUGAGAGAGAUAUAUAUCAUUACAAACACAUUGGAGGAUAAAUACCUG
rnacentral:lncRNA from 1 species